UACGUAGGCAGCAAGCGUUGUUCGGAGUUACUGGGCGUAAAGGGUGCGUAGGUGGCUCUAUAAGUAUGGUGUGAAAUCUCCCGCUUAACUGGGAGGGUGCGCCGUAGACUGUGGGGCUAGAGUGUGGGAGAGGAAAGUGGAAUUCCUGGUGUAGCGGUGAAAUGCGUAGAUAUCAGGAGGAACACCGGUGGGUGUAAACGGCUUUCUGGACCGAUAAACUGA
rnacentral:rRNA from 1 species